GUUUAUGUAGCUUAAUGUAUUUCUAAAGCAAGACACUGAAAAUGCCUAGACGGGCUUACACCCCAUAAACA
rnacentral:tRNA from 1 species